CGAGGAAGGUGGGGAUGACGUCAAAUCAUCACGGGCCUUACGUCUUGGGCUACACACGUGCUACAAUGGCGAGGACAGAGAGAAGCCAACUGGCAACAGCGAGCAAAUCUUCAAACCUCGUCUCAGUUCGGAUCGGAGUCUGCAACUCGGCUCCGUGAAGUUGGAAUCGCUAGUAAUCGCGUAUCAGCCAUGACGCGGUGAAUACGUUCCCGGGCCUUGUACACACCGCCCGUCAAACCAUGGAAGCUGGGAGUGCCUGAAGUCCGUCACCGUAAGGAGCGGCCUAGGGUAAAACUAGUAACUGGGGUUAAGUCGUAGCAAUGUAGCCGU
rnacentral:rRNA from 1 species